AGCUCUCUAACUGCGAACUUGUGUGACUCCCGGUUCAUCCUCUUUGUUCGGGUCAUUGGGUUGGUGUUGGAGUUGGUCACCAUAUUCUGAACGUUUCACCUAUCGUUGCGGUGUACUGUUCUUGAUCUGCUGCGAAGCGACGAACCGCAACGGCAGUCACUCGCCUCAGCGAACUUCUGUCUGCUGCAUCUCAAAGGAGCAUGGGGACCUGAUGAUACCUUCAACUAAAAAAAACAAAUGUGCUCUCGUGUGGUCCUGACGGAAAAGUAGUAUCAACAAGAACCCUCCACUUUUUCGACCAAGUUAUCGUUAUGAGAUCCUUCUGAUGGCUUCUUACUAGGCUAUGCCGCUCCGAAGCAUUGAGAUGACGAAGCGUCGUGGUAGCUGCACCUCUGCCUUCGAAAGAUGAAUCAUUCAUUCCACACUGUGCUUACUGGCUUUGUAUAGAGUCUGGCAAAUCCGACAGACUUGGACUGCCUUUUUCAAGAAAGUUUGAAAUAGCAUCCCUUAUGCACCUGCAUUUCAAUUCCAAUCUGUAUUACAAGAAUGACAGACCACUCAACAGAGAUGAACAUCUGAAAGUGAAAGAGCUGGAAUGAAGAUACGUUAAUCUGUGUCAAAGGUUCUUAGUAUGUGUGCGAGUCGAGGACAUAGGUCUCAAGCUUAUUCCUGUCUCCAGAAGAGGUGACAA